UACGUAGGGUGCGAGCGUUAAUCGGAAUUACUGGGCGUAAAGCGUGCGCAGGCGGUCUGUUAAGACCGAUGUGAAAUCCCCAGGCUUAACCUGGGAACUGCAUUCGAGACUGCAUUGCUAGAGUAUGGGAGAGGGAAGUGGAAUUUCCGGUGUAGCGGUGAAAUGCGUAGAUAUCGGAAGGAACAUCAGUGGCGAAAGCGACUUCCUGGACCAAUACUGACGCUCAUGUGCGAAAGCGUGGGGAGCAAACAGG
rnacentral:rRNA from 1 species